rnacentral:lncRNA from 1 species
AUAUGAGGCGGGUGUUUCCAAAUCCUGUAGAUGCGUUUUGGGGAGAAGCAAAAUCGGUGAGGGGUUAAGUGCGGCGCAUGCGCGCGCGUACGGACCCCGGAACCGGCCAACAUCUGGCAGGGGAGCCCCGUGUUUCUCCCUCAUGUGGGCCCGAUAGUCACGUGCCCUGUGCAGGCGGGCCGUGACAUUUAUGAACGUGCCUGGCCAAAGCAUACAUUAUUUUACGACGAGUUUUUGAAUAUAUCCUUUAUGAAAUGUUGUAUUUUGCUAUAACUGCUAUCUCCUUUAAAUGAUGCUAAUCGCAUGAAUUCUUAUGUUUGAUCCGGUAAGAUUAUGUAUGAUUACUUACUGAGCCGUGUAGCUCAUAUCCAUUCAUUUACAUUUUUCUUUCAGAUCCUCACCACUGAUAGCUGUCGGAGACACUUUAAUUUGGUAUCUGGGCUUCUUUCCUUUGGGGUAAAAUAAGUAUACUUUUGUGUACAUAAACUACAUAGAAGCUCUGUAUUUGGGUACUGACCAGCAUGUUGUACUAAGAAUGCUUUCAUAUAUAAAGGUUUGGUUGGUUUGACUACCCUAUAACCCAUGUAUGAGGCUUCGUGCUAUUGUGGGCGGUAGUUGGCAAUAGCACGGCCGUGUCACGGAUCCGGAUCCGGGGCGUGACAUUCUUGUGGUAUCAGAGCAAUAGGUUAAUCAUGAGUAAAAAUUUUAAGUUUUAAUAAGGGAAUGGGUAGUUAAGUCUCAUUCGGUGAGAUUCCGCAUAAUUGGAAAGAAAGAAAAGAUUGUAUUAGUCGUAUCAUCGGUCAAUCACGAAAAUUGUUUGACACAAAUAUUUUGAUAGGUGACAAUGAGCAACAAAAAGAGAGAAGUUAGGGCUAAUACACAACCAUUCUAGGGGCAUGAUUGUGACUGGUAUGGUAUUAGAAUUCAAGACUUAAGAUUACUAAGGAUUUUGGUAUUUUGAAUCAGAAUGCUAGCAAGCCAUGGCAAAAUAAGAAUAAGCUAGUUUGGAGAUUUCUCGAUGGAGUAAUUUGUAUUUGGAUUAUGAUUAAAGUAUAUUUUGACUAAUAUUAAGUGGAGUAUUAAAGUACAUUGCGUAUUAGUAUAUAUGUGAUUUUGGAAGUUUAACUUGAUACUGAGU